rnacentral:rRNA from 1 species
AGCGAACGCUGGCGGCAGGCCUAACACAUGCAAGUCGAGCGCCCCGCAAGGGGAGCGACGGACGGGUGAGUAACACGUGGGAAUUUUCCUCAAGGUACGGAACAACUCAGGGAAACUUGGGCUAAUACCGUAUGAUGCAGAGAUGCCAAAGAUUUAUCGCCUUGGGAUAAGCCCGCGUCAGAUUAGGUAGUUGGUGGGGUAAUGGCCUACCAAGCCUGUGAUCUGUAGCUGGUCUGAGAGGACGAUCAGCCACAUUGGGACUGAGACACGGCCCAAACUCCUACGGGAGGCAGCAGUGGGGAAUCUUGCGCAAUGGGCGAAAGCCUGACGCAGCCAUGCCGCGUGAAUGAUGAAGGUCUUAGGAUUGUAAAGUUCUUUAGCCUGUGACGAUGAUGACGGUAACAGGAGAAUAAGCCCCGGCUAACUUCGUG